rnacentral:rRNA from 1 species
UACAGAGGGUGCAAGCGUUAUUCGGAAUUAUUGGGCGUAAAGAGCUCGUAGGCGGUGUGUCACGUCGGCCGUGAAAACCUGCAGCUUAACUGUGGGCGUGCGGUCGAUACGGGCAUCACUGGAGUUCGGCAGGGGAGACUGGAAUUCCUGGUGUAGCGGUGAAAUGCGCAGAUAUCAGGAGGAACACCGGUGGCGAAGGCGGGUCUCUGGGCCGAUACUGACGCUGAGGAGCGAAAGCGUGGGGAGCAAACAGG